rnacentral:rRNA from 1 species
GCUGGCGGCGUGCUUUACACAUGCAAGUCGUACGCUGAAGCCCGCUUCGGUGGGUGGAUGAGUGGCGAACGGGUGAGUAACACGUGGGUAACCUGCCCUGCACUUUGGGAUAAGCCUGGGAAACUGGGUCUAAUACCGGAUGGGACUCAUGGCUGCAUGGUCUGUGAGUGGAAAGCCUUUUUGGUGGUGUGGGAUGGGCCCGCGGCCUAUCAGUUUGUUGGUGGGGUGAUGGCCUACCAAGGCGACGACGGGUAGCCGGCCUGAGAGGGUGUUCGGCCACACUGGGANUGAGACACGGCCCAGACUCNUACGGGAGGCAGCAGUGGGGAAUCUUGCACAAUGGGCGAAAGCCUGAUGCAGCGACGCCGCGUGAGGGAUGACGGCCUUCGGGUUGUAAACCUCUUUCGGUACUGANGAAGCCGCAUGUUUUUGUGUGUGGUGACGGUAGGUGCAGAAGAAGCGCCGGCUAACUACGUGCCAGCAGCCGCGGUAAUACGUAGGGCGCGAGCGUUGUCCGGAUUUAUUGGGCGUAAAGAGCUUGUAGGCGGCUUGUCGUGUCUGCCGUGGAAACCGGGGGCUUAACUCUCGGCGUGCGGUGGAUACGGGCAGGCUUGAGUGCGGUAGGGGAGACUGGAAUUCCUGGUGUAGCGGUGAAAUGCGCAGAUAUCAGGAGGAACACCGGUGGCGAAGGCGGGUCUCUGGGCCGUUACUGACGCUGAGGAGCGAAAGCGUGGGGAGCGAACAGGAUUAGAUACCCUGGUAGUCCACGCCGUAAACGUUGGGCGCUAGGUGUGGGUGGCCUUUUGGUUGUCCGUGCCGUAGCUAACGCAUUAAGCGCCCCGCCUGGGGAGUACGGCCGCAAGGCUAAAACUCAAAGGAAUUGACGGGGGCCCGCACAAGCGGCGGAGCAUGUGGAUUAAUUCGAUGCAACGCGAAGAACCUUACCUGGGUUUGACAUGCCGGGAAAUCCUGCAGAGAUGUGGGGUGCCUUCGGGCGUCCGGUGCAGGUGGUGCAUGGCUGUCGUCAGCUCGUGUCGUGAGAUGUUGGGUUAAGUCCCGUAACGAGCGCAACCCUUAUCCUAUGUUGCCAGCACGUCGUGGUGGGGACUCGUGGGAGACUGCCGGGGUCAACUCGGAGGAAGGUGGGGAUGACGUCAAGUCAUCAUGCCCCUUAUGCCCAGGGCUUCACACAUGCUACAAUGGCCGGUACAAAGGGUGGCGAGACCGUGAGGUGGAGCGAAUCCCUGGAAAGCUGGUCUCAGUUCGGAUCGUAGUCUGCAACUCGACUACGUGAAGUCGGAGUCGCUAGUAAUCGCAGAUCAGCAACGCUGCGGUGAAUACGUUCCCGGGCCUUGCACACACCGCCCGUC